rnacentral:lncRNA from 1 species
CCGUGAGUGGCCUGAUGUGUCCCCUGGGACAUCAGGACUUAAUGCUGUAUGUUGUCCACGCGUGAAUGGUGGAGCCAGAGGUGACAACAUUUACGUGGGAAGCCAAGUCUCUGCAGCAGCUUCCAGCACUGACCAGGGCAUCCACACUUGUGUACAACCCGGUAGAAGCAUCAACCGUAUUUUUGAGGAUAACCAUGAGGAACCCAUUUCCCCAGGGAUAGAAAUCAGCAAAGAGAUUGGGCAAAAAAAAGACUCACUUGAAGGGCUGCCCCAGUCUCCACGUCAAGGUCAAAAGUCAAGGAGGAUUUAGUUACAAUACCCAGAAAGGCACCUACCUCCCAGGAGAAGGCUUCUGUAAUCAUGUGAGAAAGUAAGAGCAGAAAGAAACAAAUUUGUUUAAAUUAGAUGCUGAUACAAGCCCCACAGAGGCUCUCGCGAUUUGCCAUUUAAAACAGAAAGACAAAAAAAAAAAAAAAUUAAAAAAACAAAAACAAAAACAGAAAGAAGGAAGAGGGCGGGCUGUGCCGACUUCCUUCAAGACUCAGCAAGCUGGACUGAGGCAGAAAUCGCCCAUAAGGCCUUCUGGUCUCCGAUGUCGGGGAACACACGUGUGGGUCCUGACUCUCAGCCUUGUCUGACCCUCACUGCACGUGGAAAGCAGCCCGGCGUCUGCUGGUGCGCAGGUGCUGAGCAGGUCUCAGCCUCCGUGGACUCACUGGUAACACAGACAAGGCCUGUAAGAACCGGGCUUGUUCCAGCCCAAUCCUGGUGCCAACAGGAGCAUGGAGACUCCUCACGGGGCCACUCAGAACUCCCACUUGGUGAAGAAAACCUUCCCGAAUGUUCCACACGCCAGGAGAGGGGCCCUGCGGCUGCGUCUUCAUGUAUCAGGUUAGCUGGCAGCUCAUUUCCAGUCCUGGGGUAAUCUCUCGGCAAGUCUUUCUGAAGAAAGUUCCAGGCAGCGACCCUGCUCACUCCAUCCUGGGAAGUCUCUGGGGUCCCCUGGGGUCCCCUAGAGUCCCCAGUAUCACGCUUUUUCGCUGCUGGAGCAUUUGUUUUAAGAGAUUCUGCGUGCUGCCCAGAAGUGAGCUGGACCUUCAUUCGUGUGUAUGUUCAUUCAUUCCCACAUUUAACAGGUAUGUAUUGAGUGCCCAAAGCCCGCUGCGUCCUGGUCUAGGUGCUUUUCAUACCUCAGGGAGCAAAGAACAAGAACCCUGCCCUCUGCCACUUGGCAUCAUGGCCAUCCUAGUGGGUGGUGAGGAUGAUAAGAGAGGCAAGACAUUUCAGGCAAGAAGAAGAGCACAGGCUAGAGGCAAGAGUCAGAAGACAGCCUGGCAGGUCCCAGGAAAGAACUGCAAACUCUUCAAAAGUGCUGGAAGGUAA